GAAACUAACAAGGAUUCCCUCAGUAAGGGCGACUGAAGCGGGAAGAGCUCACCGUGUGAAUUGGUACCUUGGUGCCAAGUUGUGGUCUGUAGAAGCAUCGUCUGUUGGUGUCCCGGGCCAAGUCCUUUGGAAAAAGGCAGCAGAGAGGGUGACACUCCCGUUCUUGCCUGGGACAUUCGACUAUAUUCGUGCCUUCAAAGAGUCGAGUUGUUUGGGAUUGCAGCUCAAAGUGGGUGGUAAAUUCCAUCUAAAGCUAUAAUAUCUGUAGGAGACCGAUAGCGAACAAGUACCGUGAGGGAAAGAUGAAAAGAACUUUGAAAAGAGAGUUAAAGAGUCUCAUAAAAUUGUUGAAAGGGAAGCGAUGGAAACCAGUGUUGUUUGGUCUCAUUCUUCUUGUGCUGCUUGCAGCAGAAGCGCUGUGAGUCCAGAUAGGCCAGCAUGGGUUUGGAUCGGCACAAAUUGUUUUGGUGGAGGUAGGCCUAUUUCGGGCUGAAGACACCUUUAUGUUGUGCUGGUCUGGACUGAGGCUAGCUCGUGUGAUGCUGGCAAAAUGGUUUUCA
rnacentral:rRNA from 1 species